GGGUUGUGAGGUUAAGCGACUAAGCGUACACGGUGGAUGCCCUGGCAGUCAGAGGCGAUGAAGGGCGUGCUAAUCUGCGAUAAGCGCCGGUAAGGUGAUAUGAACCGUUAUAACCGGCGAUACCCGAAUGGGGAAACCCAGUGUGAUUCGUCACACUAUCAUUAACUGAAUCCAUAGGUUAAUGAGGCGAACCGGGGGAACUGAAACAUCUAAGUACCCCGAGGAAAAGAAAUCAACCGAGAUUCCCCCAGUAGCGGCGAGCGAACGGGGAGGAGCCCAGAGCCUGAAUCAGCAUGUGUGUUAGUGGAAGCGUCUGGAAAGGCGCGCGAUACAGGGUGACAGCCCCGUACACAAAAGCGCAUGUGCUGUGAGCUCGAUGAGUAGGGCGGGACACGUGGUAUCCUGUCUGAAUAUGGGGGGACCAUCCUCCAAGGCUAAAUACUCCUGACUGACCGAUAGUGAACCAGUACCGUGAGGGAAAGGCGAAAAGAACCCCGGCGAGGGGAGUGAAAAAGAACCUGAAACCGUGUACGUACAAGCAGUGGGAGCACCCUUUGG
rnacentral:rRNA from 2 species